AUGGAGAUCUCCGGACCCCCGCUCGAGAUUGGCAGCGCCCCCGCUGGGGUCGACGACACUCCCGUCAACAUGGACAGCCCCCCAAUCGCGCUUGACGGCCCGCCCAUCAAGGUCUCCGGAGCCCCAGAUAAGAGAGAGCGAGCAGAGAGACCCCCAGUUGAGGAAGAAGCAGCAGAGAUGGAAGAAGCCGCUGAUGCCGCGGAGGGAGGAAAAGUCCCCUCUCCGGGGUACGGAUCCCCUGCCGCCGGGGCAGCCUCAGCGGAUGCCGCCGCUGGGGCAGCCUCAGCGGAUACCGCUGCCAGGGCAGCCCCUGCAGCCCCAGCCGAUCCUGACUCCGGGGCAGCCCCAGAAGAUCCCGACUCCGGGACAGCACCAGCCGAUCCUGACUCCGGGGCAGCCCCAGCCGAUCCCGACUCCGGGGCAGCCCCUGCCGCCCCAGCCGAUCCCGACUCCGGGGCGGCCCCUGACGCCCCAGCCGAUCCCGACUCCGGGGCGGCCCCUGACGCCCCAGCCGAUCCCGACUCCGGGGCGGCCCCUGACGCCCCAGCCGAUCCCGACUCCGGGGCGGCCCCUGACGCCCCAGCCGAUCCCGACUCCGGGGCGGCCCCUGACGCCCCAGCCGAUGCCGACUCCCGGGCAGCCCCUGUCGCCCCAGCUGCGCCAGACGCAGGGGCUCCCACUGCCCCAGCCGCUUCUGCCACCCGGGCAGCCCAAGUCCGCCGGGCGGCCUCCGCAGCCCCUGCCUCCGGGGCCAGACGCAAGAUCCAUCUCAGACCCCCCAGCCCCGAGAUCCAGGCUGCCGAUCCGCCUACUCCGCGGCCUACUCGCGCGUCUGCCUGGCGGGGCAAGUCCGAGAGCAGCCGCGGCCGCCGCGGGUACUACGAUGAAGGGGCGGCCAGCAGCGACGAUGACUCCAGCGGAGACGAGUCCGACGAUGGGACCUCCGGAUGCUUCCGCUGGUUUCAGCAUCGGCGAAAUCGCCGCCGCCGAAAGCCCCAGCGCAACUUACUCCGCAACUUCCUCGUGCAAGCCUUCGGGGGCUGCUUCGGUCGAUCUGAGAGUCCCCAGCCCAAAGCCUCGCGCUUUUUCAAGGUCAAGAAGGUACCCCUGGCGGAGAAGCGCAGACAGAUGCGCAAAGAAGCCCUGGAGAAGCGGGCCCAGAAGCGCGCAGAGAAGAAACGCAGUAAGCUCAUCGACAAACAACUCCAGGACGAAAAGAUGGGCUACAUGUGUACGCACCGCCUGCUGCUUCUAGGGAGAAAAGUGGUGCCGAGCGACACUGAGGGUCGUUUCCGGCUGGACAGGCCAGCGCCAGCAACCGUAAGCUGGAGAGGCAGGGGCUUCAGCGUUUCCUCACUUCUCAUUCGUUCGCCAAACCCUCCCGCCUUUACAGUUGAAAAACCAGACACACAGGUGCUGGAGAAUCUGGUAAAAGCACCAUUGUGAAGCAGAUGAGGAUCCUGCAUGUUAAUGGGUUUAAUGGAGAGGGCGGCGAAGAGGACCCGCAGGCUGCAAGGAGCAACAGCGAUGGAAUGUAUUAUCCCUAGAUGAUGGCUACAGUUUCUCAUCUUCCCGGCUAUGUCCUAUCACAAUUUGCAUGCUGGAAUUGCUCGGUCUUAGGAACUUCUAAUAAGAAUACUAUUCUGUUAUCUGAGGGGGGAGGGGGGAUGGGGCCCCUACUACCUGACCUUAAACGAUGAUUGAAAAAAUGAAAAAUGGACUGAAAUCCUUAAUUGGCAGAAAUGUAGUAUGACAACUAUCCAAAAAGGCAUCUCUCUAAGAAAUGACUAAUUGACAAUCUGCUGUACCAAAAGUUGGCAUUUGAGCAAGAUAUGACAAGUCCUUAGUGAGCAACCUACUGUGUACUAGAUGUCCUGCUAAACCCUUGAACCCUACUAAUACCUUGGCCUGCACGUCUCUCUGACUCUGUUCUGCAAGUCAAUAUAAGUAUUAACAUUCGUGAUAAAUAAAAAUUCUCUGCAUGUUUCAGCAA
rnacentral:sRNA from 1 species